ensembl:lncRNA
UGCUGAAAAGGGGCCUAGAGAUGCACAAGCGCCACCUCUUGAAUUAUUCAUCCAUUAACACCCUGCACCUUCGCUCUUUCCUCUUAUUAAUGGAGCUGUCAAUUUUUUCAUUUAUCGACUGCUAAACAGCACUUCAUCUCCUUGACUUUUUCAUUACCAUUCUGCCAUCUUUCAUUAUUUGUCUUCCAUCUCUGUUUGUCCAUGUCUCUUGUAAGUUCUCUGAUGGCAGCGUCUGUGUUUGUCAGCCCGUCACACACAGAAGGCGGCACACUCCUCCAGAAGACAAAGGCUGGGUAUAUUCUCCUCUGCACUUCAGCUCAGGGCCUAAAACCCUGGCAGAGGAUGAAGAGGAGAGUGAAUCAGUAAGUGUCGCGGUCGUCUUGGGUUCGUGAUUCUUGAUGUUGACUGUCCUUUGUCUGUUAUUCCUUGCAUAUUAAUUGCAUAAAAUUCCAUUUUAAUGUGUCCCAACAGUAAUCAGACCUCAGGAAAGAGGGGCAGCUACAAGGUUUGAACACUUCAGAUGUCCUCAUAACGUCCGGAAGCUCUAUCGGUCGGAUUUUUUCGCAAUUUAAGCAUCAUUUUCAUCGUCCUUUCACCCAUUCCAUAAACAUCAAAUUUUCCACAGAUCCUCAGAUUUUCCCACCAAAAUCAGUACGAAGUCAUCAGGGCCUGGUUAUUAAGAGACAUGUUAAACUGAAAGAUGGGACCAAACGUAUUGUGUGGGAGGCCAAAUCUUUAAAACAACUUAAUCACAAUCAGAAAUAUUUGUUAAAAAAAACGUUUAAUUGUAAAUCCAAAUGUAUAGAAUUUGUGUGUGCGCCUAUGCAUUGAGUGCGUUUGUGGUUUUGAGUAAGCGAGUCUCAUUUUAUGAUGGAAGUGUGCGACACUGAUUCUUAUAAUGUGCAGUGGCCAGUUGCUAUUGAUAUUGCUGUUGUAUCUAAAAUAAAGGGACUACUGCAGCAAUACAUUUGUAAAGUGUAGCACAUGCAUAUUUUGGUUGCCUUAAUUCUUUUUUGCCAACCUAAUUCCUAUUGUAGUUAUAAAAUAUUCACUGAUUCAGUCUUUCUUUUCUGGUUCACCAAUGAUAGUGAGAAUGUGUAUAUAGAUCUUUAAAUACAUAUAAAGUAUAUUUUAAAUGUUAUUUGAAGUUUUCUUUUGUAUUUUAUUUUGCACAAGUGGCUCGCAAAAGGUGUCCUAGGUCCACACGAACCCACCCAUUCUUCCAGCAUCGAGGACAUUUCCUUGCGUUUGAGUCUAGGGUGUUUCUUUGUUUACAAUUUAGUUUGGAUUGUAAAGUCUCAGGGGUGCCCAAACUCGGUCCUGGAGGGCAGGUGUCCUGCAGAGUUUAGCUCCAGCAUGCCUCAACACACCUGCUUGGAAGUUUCUAGUAAGAGCUUGAUUAGCUGGUUCAGAUGUGUUUGAUUAGGGUUGGAGCUAAACUCUGCAGGACACCGGCCCUCCAGGACCGAGUGUGGGCACCCCUGCUCUAUACAGUCAAAGACACAACUGUAUCAAUCGCUUACUCUUCCAACAGUUGAGCUGUGUGUGUGUGGUCAAAAAGCUGUGUGCCCCCCUAAAUAGCAAAAGAGCAUGAUGAAAUGUGAGUUUAUUUACAUUGAUGUACAGCAUAGACAUUUAUCUCUACGAAAAGACCACAACCCAUGUGUGUACAUUUGUCCAGACACUUAAAAUAAAUACAACUCUUGGAAGAUUCUUGUGGAUUUUUUUUUUUAAUAAUUUGUCCUUGUACCAUUCAGAUUUUUCCAACAAAAUGUAAUACCAGCAAAAAAAACAACAGUACACCGUUCAAACUAGGCUGCUUAUGUUGAAGUGUUUGGGAUGUGGCUUUUAAUGAUGAGACCUUUUUUGUAAUCAGGCUCUCAAAAAGUAUAUAACAAUUUGGAUAUAGAUUUAUUGGCCAACAUAUCGGUUAUCGGCUUUCAAAAAUAAAGAAUAAUCGGUUAUCGGUAUCGGCCAAAAUGU